rnacentral:rRNA from 1 species
GAUGAACGCUGGCGGCGUGCCUUACACAUGCAAGUCGAACGGCAGCGCGGACUUCGGUCUGGGGCGAGUGGCGAACGGGUGAGUAAUGUAUCGGAACGUGCCCCGUAGCGGGGGAUAACUACGCGAAAGCGUAGCUAAUUCCGCAAACGCCCUACGGGGGAAAGCAGGGGAUCGGUAGACCCUGCACAAUUGGUGCGGCCGAUAUCGGAUUAGCUAGUUGGUGAGGUAACGGCUCACCAAGGCGACGAUCCGUAGCUGGUUUGAGAGGACGACCAGCCACACUGGGACUGAGACACGGCCCAGACUCCUACGGGAGGCAGCAGUGGGGAAUUUUGGACAAAGGGGGCAACCCUGAUCAAGCCAUCCCGCGUGUGCGAUGAAGGCCUUCGGGUUGUAAAGCACUUUUGGCAGGAAAGAAACGUCGCGGGCUAAUACCCCGUGGAACUGACGGUACCUGCAGAAUAAGCACCGGCUAACUACGUG